AUGAUCAUGUUAUCACAGCUCAUGCUAGCUGUCAUGCUAAUGCUUUCACUAAUAUUCAUUCGGGACAUGGGUAAGUACAUUGAAAAUCUCUUUUCCAUCUCAAAGCUUAUAAUUUAGUUAAGUGCUAGCAUUCAGUAUAUAUUUAUCUCUAUAUCUUGUUCACCUUUAAAAUUCUUCAUAUAUCUCAUUCUUCGUAUUAAAAUAUUAAUUCUUAUUUUUAAUAUUAAUAUUUUCACGAAUAUUCAUUCGGGACAUGGGUUAAGAGCAUUCUAAAUCACUUUUUUAUCUUAAUCCUUAUACUAUAGUUAAAUGGAUUUUUCUAUCUUAAUCCUUAUACUUUAGUUAAGAAAUAUAUUUAGUCCACCUUCAUAAUUCUUUUUAUAUCUCACUCAUCGUAUAAUUUUCUAUUCACUUAAAUAAUAAUUCUUUGUUUUUUAUGUUAACUAGUUUAUUUUUUUGCGCGUUGCGGAGGUACGUUAUUAUGGGCAUUUGAUCGAUAUCAGUUGGAUUCGUUACAGUACUAGUACGAUAUACGCACUCGGUAUACCGGUACGAUAUACGCACUCAGUAUAGAAAUCAACACGCAUUAUACAUCGACCGAACCGUAAAAAAUGAACAGCGGUACCGGCAGGCGGUAGCGGUGUUAGGAAACUUUAUUUGUAAGUAUUGAAGAAAAUCUCAAUCAACUGGAUCUCUGAAGAAGAUAACAGUCCUGAAGAACACAGCAAGAUGAAGAAAAACAGUUGGGACAACUGAAAAGGAAAGUAUCUACUACAAAGAAUCUCAAGUUGAUAAAGAGUUGAUUUGUAUUAUCAGAGAAGGUCGUUUCUGAUGGAUCUGAUGAUAUUUCUGAUGAAAUAUCAUCAGUUUCUGACAAAUUCUGAUCAUCAAACUUUCUGAUGAUUUGUUCACCAGAAUUUCUGAUGAAGUGGCUUAUCAGAAAUUCUGAUGAAAGACCCACUUGUCUAAAAUCACAACUCUAUCCUGCCACCCAUGACCGAAGCAUGACAUUAUUGGUUUUCAUGAUUACAAAUGCAACUUGAACGAUGGAUUCAAUGAAUAUGUCAAAUUGCUACUUUACGCAGGACUUAUUGCAUGAAUAAACAAUUGUUUAUUCAUGUCCACAGCCGUCUAUAAAUAGAAGGCUCGAGAGGCAGAAGAUACUUGAGUUUGAAGCUUAGCAUUCACAUGCAAACACUCAAACUCCAACUGCUCUUCUCACCCACAGAAAUCAAGAUUCAUUUGUAUUAGAUAAUAAUCUUACAAUCACCUUGUUAAACUAAUUUGUUUCAAAGUGAUAUAAACUUGAUAAUUCUGUAGGUCUUGUUUCUUGAAAGUCUGAUUUCCAUUUCCGCACAUCUUUUUCACAUAUACUGAAAUCACUUGCCAUAUUACGUAAAAAGAAGUUGUUAAGGCCAUAUUGGGUCCAACAAUUG
rnacentral:lncRNA from 1 species